rnacentral:rRNA from 1 species
AGCGAACGCUGGCGGCAAGGCCUAACACAUGCAAGUCGAACGAACCUUCGGGUUAGUGGCGGACGGUGAGUAACACGUGGGAACGUACCUUUAGGUUCGGAACAACACAGGGAAACUUGUGCUAAUGCCGAAUGUGCCCUUCGGGGGAAAGAUUUAUCGCCUUUAGAGCGGCCCGCGUCUGAUUAGCUUGUUGGUGAGGUAAAGGCUCACCAAGGCUUCGAUCAGUAGCUGGUCUGAGAGGAUGAUCAGCCACACUGGGACUGAGACACGGCCCAGACUCCUACGGGAGGCAGCAGUGGGGAAUCUUGCGCAAUGGGCGAAAGCCUGACGCAGCCAUGCCGCGUGAAUGAUGAAGGUCUUAGGAUUGUAAAAUUCUUUCACCGGGGAAGAUAAUGACGGUACCCGGAGAAGAAGCCCCGGCUAACUUCGUG